rnacentral:rRNA from 1 species
GCUAAUACCGGAUAACAACAGAUGAUGCCUAUCAACUGUUUAAAAGAAUGGUUCUGCUAUCACUCUUGGAUGGACCUGCGGUGCAUUAGCUAGUUGGUAGGGUAACGGCCUACCAAGGCGAUGAUGCAUAGCCGAGUUGAGAGACUGAUCGGCCACAUUGGGACUGAGACACGGCCCAAACUCCUACGGGAGGCAGCAGCU